GAUGAAGAACGUAGCGAAAUGCGAUAAGUAAUGUGAAUUGCAGAAUUCAGUGAAUCAUCGAAUCUUUGAACGCACAUUGCGCCCGCCAGUAUUCUGGCGGGCAUGCCUGUUCGAGCGUCAUUUCAACCAUCAAGCCCCAGGCUUGUGUUGGGGACCUGCGGCUGCCGCAGGCCCUGAAAACCAGUGGCGGGCUCGCUGUCACACCGGGCGUAGUAGAUUUUAUCUCGCUCAGGGCGUGCUGCGGGUUCCGGCCGUUAAAAAGCCUUUUUUACCCAAGGUUGACCUCGGAUCAGGUAGGAUUACCCGCUGAACUUAAGCAUAUCAAUAAGCGGAGGA
rnacentral:misc_RNA from 1 species